UGCCUGUGGCUGGGAAUUGCUAUGGCAUUUGUCUCUUUGGGGAGCUUCAGAUAAGAGGUUUUGGUAUGCAGAAAUUGACUUGCUAGAGAUGUGAAUUGUACUCCAUAAAAAAGCCCUUUGCAAAGCUACAGUCAGUCAGUUUGACAAGGACUGACUCCCCUGCCUCAGCAAAGGCUAAAAUUCAUCCUAGAGUGCACCUGUUUCUUCCAAGGACAGUGUGGACCCAACACAUGACACAACAGAUAACUUUACCAACCCUGAGGAAACUAACCUACUAUCUCCCUUCCUUCCUUACUACUUCCUAUAGGAGAACUUGAAUCCCUUAGUUGUUCUGAAUUUGUUUAAGCGCAUCCCUGCUGAAAAUGUCCUUUUACUUCUGAUGAACCCAGAAGCUGGAAAGCCCUCUGAUUUGAUUCUCACCCGACUUUUGGUGCCUCCCUUGUGUAUCAGACCCUCUGUCGUGAGCGAUUUGAAGUCUGGAACCAAUGAAGAUGACCUGACAAUGAAACUGACAGAGAUCAUUUUCCUAAAUGAUGUUAUUAAAAAGCACCGGAUCUCAGGAGCCAAGACACAGCUGAUAAUAGAGAACUGGGAUUUCCUGCAGCUGCAGUGUGCCCUCUACAUCAACAGUGAGCUCUCUGGCAUCUCCCUCAACAUGCCCCCCCCCCAAAAAAAAAAAUGGAUACAAGGCUUUGUCCAGCACCUGAAGGGGAAGCAGGGUUCCUGAAGUAUGGAAACCGGGAAAAGAUGGCUCAGGAGCUCAAGUUCGGCGACAUCGUAGAGAGACACCUGAUAGACAGAGAUGUGGUGUUGUUCAACUGGCAGCCCUCGCUGCACAACCUGAGCAUCAUGGCCCAUCUGGAACCAGUGGUCUCACUUCCAAGCCUCUCCAGACUUCUUGUUGGUUCUCUACCUGAAGACAUUGGAAGGACCUCUCCUUUCCUGUGCAACUAAGACUGAACACUCAGUCACCCACCCACUUCUUCACAGCUAACCGUGGGUUCUCCAUCGGGAUUGGUGAUGUCACACCUGGCCAGGGACUGCUGAAGGCCAAGUAUGAGCUACUAAAUGCUGGCUACAAGAAGUGCGAUGAAUAUAUUGAAACCCUGAACACAGGCAAGCUGCAGCAGCAGCCGCCGGGCUGCACUGCUGAGGAGACACUAGAGGUGCUGUCUGUGAUCCAGGACCAUGCUGGCAGAGCUUGCCUCCGAGAGCUAGACAAGAGCAACAGCCCCUUCACCAUGGCCCUGUGUGGCUCCAAAGGUGAGCUAAGGUUGGCUGUUUGUGUGCCCUGCCAGGGGCUUGGCUCUAGAAAAUGUCUGUCAUGGUGGUAACUUCAUAGGGGCUCUUCAUUUCUUUUUUUUUCU